AUGAUGUGAAUCACUGCCUGCAGGUACCGCCAGAGAGGAGGGGCUGCUUUGUCUCGGCCAGCUGAUUCGUUUACAAGAAUUUUAAGGACUCCAGAGCAAAACUUCCACCUGCUUGAGCAGAUUGCUCCAGACGGCACCAAAGAGGACGUUCCACGGAUGGAGGUGGACAUGACUCGUCUUUAUGAGCAGUGGGCUGCUGUGGGGUCUCGCUCAAGGACACUUUGACAUGCAAACAGGAGGAACCAGGAAUCAAACCUCGCAGUUAAAAGACGACCACUGAGCUACAACCCCAAAGCUGGGAGGAAGGUAGAGUGAGGAGUGAGGUGGGAGAAAGGUGGAAUGAGGGAGGGAAGAGGGAGGAAGAAAGGUAGAGGGAGGAGUGAGCUAAAGGGAAGAGGGAUAUGGAGGGAGGAGGGAAGGAAGAGGG